AAAAAACUAAAAAAAUCCCAUAAAAAAUGCCAAAAAAAAAAAAACAUAAGAGUGACCACUGCGUGGGUGCCGGCAUAACCAGCACAAACCAGUCAGGCAGAAAUCACAUGUAUGUUUCGAUAAAAAAAAUCGACAAAUCAAACACGAAAUAGUCUAAAAAUCAUCACGCGCUUCACCUGCCGGCUGGAUCCAGAGAGGCGCCUGCUGCACCGCCGAUGCCGGCGGGAAUGGGAGCGGAAGCCGGAGCCGGGGGCCCGGGGCAGGGCUCUCCUCCACCCAAGACGGCGCAGCCCCCACGGCCUUGCCCCCUCCAUCGCCAGACGAAUCCAUCCCCAUCGAUCAAAAAUCCAAACCUCGGAGGGGGACAGCAGUGGCGCGGAUCUGGAGUGGCACGGCCGCCACCUUGCCACAAUCGCGCCAGCCCGGGCGAAGGAGGGGAAGGAGUCGAGAGGGAGGAGGAUCAACUCGCACUCGAAUUUCCAGCCGUCCGAUCUCUUCGAGAUUAGUGCUUCUUUUAUCAAGCUAUUUCGGUUUGGAUCCGGUUUGUUCCACCCUUGUUCGACGGUGGGUGAUGCUGUCGAAUGUCGAUGGCGAGUGGCGACGAUGGGAGGAGGCAACUCCGCCGAUUUCUUCUCGGCGACGGCCUCGCUCGUCUUCUCCAGAGGAUUCUUCUCUCGUGCAGCAACGCCACUCCGUACUCCGCUGACUCGACAAGGCAUCCCGGCGAUGAAGCAAUCUUCAGGUGAUGGGAGGUUGCUGUUGCGGCUGUGGCUUCAGCUCCUAAAAAUUAGGCAAUGUGAUGUUUACGGCCCAGAUGGGGCAAAAUGAGAAAAAGGCAUGUAUCUAAGGCAGCUAUGGAAACCGAAGAAGAUGGAACCAGCUGCGGCUACCUCGCUUUUAUUCUAAAGAAUCUGAAAAUAAUUUGGUAUUUAGUGGCUUAUGGCAUGAAUUAAGUUGAAGUGAUUAAGUACCCUCUCUAUGAUCUCUGUUUUCAAAAUAGUGAUUGAGUACCUCAAUUUCUGGAGAAACAGUUACCUAAGAGCAAGGCUAAUAAUACAUCCGACCUGUUGGCUAUAAGGUUUUUUUAGCAUUCUCUCACUCUACCCAUAUAAUAGUCAGCUAUUUACAAUUAA